rnacentral:tRNA from 1 species
AAAAAAUUAGUUAAAAUAUAACAUUAGCUUGUCAAGUUAAAAUUACUAAAAAUUAGUAUUUUUUA